GUAAAUAAAUAAUAUGAAAACAAAAAAUUAUGGCGGUAUCUUAAUCUUUUCAGAGGAAUUUGCUCUUUUAUGGAUAAAACACCUAAACCUUACUAAAGUUAGUAAUUUCAGUUUGUAUACCACUAUAAAAGUAAUAAUUCGUUGUUAUUGCUUUAAUUUUCUUUUAAAAAAUAAAUUAAGUCAAGGUGCAGCUAAAACUUUAGAAUGAAGUGAAUUCAUUGCUUUUUAGAAAAAAAAAUUAAAAUAUAUAUAUAUAGGAUUUGAAAGUAAAAAUUUAAUAGAAUGAUUUUUUGAAUAAAGUUCUGAGAUAUGUAC
rnacentral:rRNA from 1 species